CGAAGGUGCAAGCGUUACUCGGAAUUACUGGGCGUAAAGCGUGCGUAGGUGGUUGUUAAGUCUGAUGUGAAAGCCCUGGGCUCAACCUGGGAAUUGCAUUGGAUACUGGCAGGCUAGAGUACGGUAGAGGAUGGCGGAAUUCCCGGUGUAGCAGUGAAAUGCGUAGAGAUCGGGAGGAACAUCCGUGGCGAAGGCGGCCAUCUGGACCUGUACUGACACUGAGGCACGAAAGCGUGGGAGCAAACAGGAUU
rnacentral:rRNA from 1 species